rnacentral:tRNA from 1 species
GGAAAUAUAGCUCUGUGGUAGAGCAUUUGCCUCACAUGCAUGAAGCUCUGGGUUAAAUCUCUAGUACCA